rnacentral:rRNA from 1 species
GACGAACGCUGGCGGCGUGCUUAACACAUGCAAGUCGAACGGAAAGGCCCUGCUUUUGUGGGGUGCUCGAGUGGCGAACGGGUGAGUAACACGUGAGUAACCUGCCCUUGACUUUGGGAUAACUUCAGGAAACUGGGGCUAAUACCGGAUAGGAGCUCCUGCUGCAUGGUGGGGGUUGGAAAGUUUCGGCGGUUGGGGAUGGACUCGCGGCUUAUCAGCUUGUUGGUGGGGUAGUGGCUUACCAAGGCUUUGACGGGUAGCCGGCCUGAGAGGGUGACCGGCCACAUUGGGAAUGAGAUACGGCCCAGACUCCUACGGGAGGCAGCAGUGGGGAAUAUUGCACAAUGGGCGGAAGCGUGAUGCAGCAACGCCGCGUGCGGGAGGACGGCCUUCGGGUGGUAAACCGCUUUCGCCUGUGACGAAGCGUGAGUGACGGUAAUGGGUAAAGAAGCACCGGCUAACUACGG